AUGCUCUUGAACCACUUGCUCCAGGCUGCUCCCACCCUGUGGAGUGUACUUUCGUUUAAGUUAACUCUCUGCUUUUGCUGCCUUGUUUUGUUUGUGUGUUUUGUCCAAUUCUUUGUUCAAAACGCCAGGAACCUGGGCAACUACCCUUAACUGUAACAUAUGUUGGGGAACCAGCCAGGAGACCACUAUGGGCAACUAUCCAUCAAUUCCACCUGAUUCCUCUAUGGGCAACUCUCCAUCUAUUUCACCUGGUACCCUGCUUGGCUACAUCCUCCACCAUUGAAAUCAACUUUACCCUGACAAUCUAAAGAGAAAAUAGACCAUCAAGCUUCAGAUGAUCCUGUGACAAGGUUUCCAGCCUAUUCCAAAUGAAGGCAGUACCUCUGGCCAUCAAGAAACUACCCAGUCUCCACUCGAUAGAUCAGGGCGGGAGUUCGGGGAUCCCCAACAGGUGGGGUCUGCGCCUCAAGUCAGCGUGACGCAGUUACAGAAGAAAGACCAUCAGUCACUCUGUCUCCCAUAAAGAUUUCUGGGGAUCAUGUCUCUCAGGGGGGAAAUGAGGCAGGAGAAUAGGGUCUGGAGGCAGGGAACCUAAGUUCGACGCAUGCUGACUGGAUAUCAGAGGCUACUCCCUUUCAACCCCUCCUUUUUCCACAUGGCAGUUGCUGCCUGGCAGUUGGAAAUGAAAGUACCUCGGAUUGGUUACCUCCCGCAACCAAUCAGACUGGUCGCGGGCCACUACUUUAUGUGCAUAGAGUGAACAGAUGGGAAACCCCUGGAGGAUAUCUAAACCCCAGAAAAUCCUGUAGCCCAGACUCUUGAGCCUCUUGCUCGAGCCCGCUCCCACCCGGUGGAGUGUACUUUCGUUUAAAAUGAAUCUCUGCUUUGGCUGCCUUG